UGAGUAAUGCGUGACCAACCUGCCCCAUGCUCCAGAAUAGCUCUUGGAAACGGGUGGUAAUGCUGGAUGCUCCAACUUGACGCAUGUCUUGUUGGGAAAGUGUUUAGUGGCAUGGGAUGGGGUCGCGUCCUAUCAGCUUGUAGGCGGGGUAAUGGCCCACCUAGGCUUCGACGGGUAGCCGGCCUGAGAGGGCGGACGGCCACAUUGGGACUGAGAUACGGCCCAGACUCCUACGGGAGGCAGCAGCG
rnacentral:rRNA from 1 species